rnacentral:sRNA from 12 species
CCCUGACAGUCGCAUGGUGCGGCUGACAUUUGCCACGACAGGAGAUUCUCAUG